rfam:Otolemur garnettii contig183749, whole genome shotgun sequence.
AUCGCUUCUCGGCCUUUUGGCUAAGAUCAAGUGUAGGAAUUCAGGUGCUAUUACACUUUCCAUUCCAAAGAUAACAAACUAAGAUUUGGAAUAGUUUAAGAAAUUUGGAAUUCGCAGUGAGUCAGGGCCAGCUACACUGUCUCUAUAAUUACAUUCAGACCUAUCCUUCCUAAAGGUGUUAAUGUACUCUCU